rnacentral:sRNA from 2 species
GCACGGGUCGUUGGGGAGUAGUUGCCCUUGGUUUGCGAAGGGGUUUGCGUCAACACACGUGGCCGGUUGGCCAUGGCGCGAACAGUCCUGAACCUGGCAAGACCUUUGACCACGUCAUCUCCUCAGGCCGGGGAAUGGCGUGGUCAAUCUGUCUGCCGGUCGCAGGAGUC